rnacentral:rRNA from 1 species
AGCGGCGAACGGGUGAGGAAUGCAUGGGUAACCUACCCUCGAGUGGGGAAUAACUAGCCGAAAGGUUAGCUAAUACCGCAUACGUUUCCGGGACUUCGGUUCCGGAAAGAAAGCAAUACCGUGGGUAUUGCGCUCAUGGAUGGGCUCAUGUCCUAUCAGCUUGUUGGUGAGGUAACGGCUCACCAAGGCUUCGACGGGUAGCUGGUCUGAGAGGACGAUCAGCCACACUGGCACUGCGACACGGGCCAGACUCCUACGGGAGGCAGCAGUAAGGAAUAUUGCGCAAUGGACGAAAGUCUGACGCAGCGACGCCGCGUGGGGGAUGAAGGUCUUCGGAUUGUAAACCCCUUUCGGGAGGGAAGAUGGAGUGGGUAACCACUUGGACGGUACCUCCAGAAGCAGCCACGGCUAACUUCGUGCCAGCAGCCGCGGUAAUACGAAGGUGGCAAGCGUUGUUCGGAUUCACUGGGCGUACAGGGAGCGUAGGCGGUUGGGUAAGCCCUCCGUGAAAUCUCCGGGCCUAACCCGGAAAGUGCAGAGGGGACUGCUCAGCUAGAGGAUGGGAGAGGAGCGCGGAAUUCCCGGUGUAGCGGUGAAAUGCGUAGAGAUCGGGAGGAAGGCCGGUGGCGAAGGCGGCGCUCUGGAACAUUUCUGACGCUGAGGCUCGAAAGCGUGGGGAGCAAACAGGAUUAGAUACCCUGGUAGUCCACGCCUUAAACUAUGGAUACUAAGUGUCGGCGGUUUACCGCCGGUGCCGCAGCUAACGCAAUAAGUAUCCCG